AGACGUUGUGGCGGAGACAGCGACCACCGACCAACCAAGCGACCAGGCUGUUCCAGGGCCAUCAGGAUACUCGACGAAGACGUUGUGGCGGAGACAGCGACCACCGACCAACCAAGCGACCAGGCUGUUCCAGGGCCAUCAGGAUACUCGACGGAGAUGGAUACACACAAUGUCUGAGCAUCAAUUCUGAACCUAGGGCAGUUCCACGAG